rnacentral:rRNA from 1 species
AUACGUAGGUGGCGAGCGUUGUCCGGAAUUACUGGGUGUAAAGGGCGUGUAGGCGGGGCUGUAAGUCAGAUGUGAAAUUCUGGGGCUCAACUCCAGGGCUGCAUCUGAAACUAUAGUUCUUGAGUGCUGGAGAGGAAAGCGGAAUUCCUAGUGUAGCGGUGAAAUGCGUAGAUAUUAGGAGGAACACCAGUGGCGAAGGCGGCUUUCUGGACAGUAACUGACGCUGAGGCGCGAAAGCGUGGGGAGCAAACAGGAUUAGAUACCCUGGUAGUCCACGCUGUAAACGAUGGAUACUAGGUGUAGGAGGUAUCGACCCCUUCUGUGCCGGAGUUAACACAAUAAGUAUCCCACCUGGGGAGUACGGCCGCAAGGUUGAA